UACGUAGGAGACGAGUGUUGUCCGGAAUUACUGGGCGUAAAGCGCGUGUAGGCGGAUGAGCAAGUCUGCUGUGAAAGCUCCUGGCUUAACCGGGAGUGGUCGGUGGAAACUGCUCGUCUGGAGGACGGUAGAGGUAGGUAGAAUUCCCGGUGUAGUGGUGAAAUGCGUAGAGAUCGGGAGGAAUACCUGUGGCGAAGGCGGCCUACUGGGCCGGACCUGACGCUGAGACGCGAAGGCGUGGGGAGCGAACGGG
rnacentral:rRNA from 1 species